rnacentral:tRNA from 1 species
GCUGCUUUGGCUCAGUGGAUAGAGCGUCGGCCUGUGGACUGAAGGUUGCCGGGUUCAAUUCUGGCCAAGGGGCA